rnacentral:rRNA from 1 species
UACAGAGGGUGCAAGCGUUGUCCGGAAUCACUGGGCGUAAAGGGCGCGUAGGUGGCCUGAUAAGUAGGAGGUGAAAUCCUGGGGCUUAACCUCAGGGCUGCCUUCUAGACUGUCCGGCUUGAGCACAGUAGAGGCAGGUGGAAUUCCCGGUGUAGCGGUGGAAUGCGUAGAGAUCGGGAAGAACAUCGGUGGCGAAGGCGGCCUGCUGGGCUGUUGCUGACACUGAGGCGCGACAGCGUGGGGAGCAAACAGGAUUAGAUACCCUGGUAGUCCACGCCGUAAACGAUGGGUACUAGGCGUCGGGGGGAGCGACCCCCUCGGUGCCGUCGCUAACGCAGUAAGUACCCCGCCUGGGGAGUACGGCCGCAAGGCUGAA